rfam:Nelumbo nucifera unplaced genomic scaffold scaffold00032, whole genome shotgun sequence
CAUUAGGUUCCUUUUGGAACCCCCCUCCCCAAAAAAAAAAAGAUA